GUCCACGCCCUAAACGAUGUCAACUGGUUGUUGAGAGGGUUCCUUCUCAGUAACGUAGCUAACGCGUGAAGUUGACCGCCUGGGGAGUACGGCCGCAAGGUUGAAACUCAAAGGAAUUGACGGGGACCCCGCACAAGCGGUGGAUGAUGUGGUUUAAUUCGACGCAACGCGAAAACCUUACCUACCCUUGACAUGCCUGGAAUCCUGCAGAGAUGUAGGGGUGCUCGAAAGAGAACCAGGACACAGGUGCUGCAUGGCCGUCGU
rnacentral:rRNA from 1 species